GCUACGAAUGCCCUGGCCCAAAGUUUACAAUCAACCCAUGACUCUGACCUGAUCCGGGAGCUGUAUGAGGAGGAGCAGGAGUCCAAGGCUGAGCUGCAGCAGAGCAUGUCCAAGGCCAACAGUGAGGAAGUAGUUAGCCCUACGUCUUCAGGAAGCAGAGGAAGCUGUUGAGGCAACCAACUCCAAGUGCUCCUCAUUGGAGAAGACCAAGGGGAGGUGGAGUAUCUGAUGGAUAUUGAAAGCCAACUCUGCUGCUGUCUCUUUGGACAAGAAGCAAAGAAAUGUUGAUAAGAGUGGAAGUCAGAGUCAGGCAGAGCUGGAGGCAUUGUUGAAAGAGGUUCGCUUCAUGGGCACUAAACUUCAAAUGAAGAAUCUCUACACAAUUUCGAAACGCGAAAACAAAAACCUGCAACAGGAAAUGAUGGAUCUUACUGGACAGCUAGGGGAAACAGGAAAAACCAUGAGCUUGAAAAGUCAAAGAAAGUCUGAACAGGAGAAGACAGAGGUUCAGACUGCCCUGGAGGAGGCAGAGGUAAUAGUAAAGAUGGGUACCUCAUAUUUAUCCUAAUUCCCAACUACAAUACCUUCCUGUCUAUUCUGACUGUACAUUAUCCCAUUCAGGCAUCUCUGGAGCAUAAGGAAUGUGAGCUCCGUGUACAACUGGAGGGCAGGGUAUGUAGCAAAGGUAAUUAUAAUACUGUAUUGCAUACUGAUUUAGAAACUUCUCUAUCUAGGUCCGUGAUCUGGAAAAUGAGCUUGAGACUGAGCAAAAGCAGGGGGUUGAUGCUAUCAAUGGAGUUCUUAAAUAUGAGAGGAGGGAGAAAGAGCUCACCAAUCAGGUAAGAAAUAAGAACGUAUUAAUGUACCGUAUAAUCAAGAGGUAAAGUCAUAUUGUCACCAACAUUUUAACAGAUGUAUUUAUUUUCCAUUCAUGGGCAUAGCCCUAGUUUCAAAUUAAAUUGCAAUCCACUUAUCACAUUGUCCUGAACCGUUUGUGAAAAAUAAACUUGCACCUGUGAUUUCAUACAGACUGAGGAAGGCAAGAAGAAUGUUACUAGACUUCAGGAUUUGGUGGAUAAAUUACAGAUCAAAGUGAAGGCCUACAAAAGACAGGCUGAGGAAGCUGUAAGCAAACCAUAUACCAAGGACCAUUCUCCACAAAAUGUUGAGUAUUAAAGUGAAGGUUGGGCUCUGGCUGCAAUAAUUAAUGUAGGCUAACCUACACUGCAUCUCAUUACAUUUCAGGAGGAGCAAGCUCAUGUUCAUAUGGCCAAAUUCAGAAAGGUGCAGCCUUAAAAAAGAAAAUGUAUAUUGAUUAUUGUAAACCUUAAACUCUUUUGAUUUGGCUUAAUUGUGUUCAUUUUUUAAACAUUGUGCUUGUUGAGUUUGUUUUUAAUAUAAAUGUUUUACCUCAGCUUCAUCUAGUGCAGAUUGCAUCUCACUUUUCUGUUUCCACUUGUCUUCUGACUUUCUCUAGUUCAUGGACACUCUCUCCACUCUCACCAAUUUGCUCCUCUGUAUUUUGAAAGCCAUACAGUACAUGUCAAAAGGCAAUCGGGUAAUUUCAUAUUGUAAAACCUUAAGGUUUUUAUGUGUUGUGACUAUUACGUCAUGGAUUGUCACGUUUCAUGAAUUGGGUUUACGUUUUAGGUUUUUAUUCUCCCUUUUGAGAGUUUCCAGAUGAUCCAGAGCUUCUUCAAAUGAGCUUUUCAUUUUGAAAAGAUCUGUGGUUUGUGAUCGAGAUUCUUUCUGAGCACUUUCCCGCUCCGACUGACUCGUACUUCUUCUUCCAGUCAACUAGAAUCUAAAAUCAUGUAAUGAGUAUUGUCAUUAAUACAUAAAAAGAUAAAAUCAAACUUUUAUAUUACCUUGUCAAAGUUUCUUAUCAAGAUUAGCAGCCACACUAGUUGAUCUCCCCACAUCAACCAUGAGAUCCUCCAUUUCACUCUGCAGUCUCUGCUUAGUCUUUUCCAGUGGAAAGUGAGACCGUUUUUCAUGAUCAUGCAUAGGGUAACCUAUGGCAAACAAGUAGAACAUCUAUAAAAAGUUGGCAAUUACUUGGCAUCUUCAAGUUCCUCAGUGUGCUGGAUGGCAUCAGUCUCAUACUUGGUUCUCCACAGAGCUACCUCACUGUUGGCCUUGGACAUGCUACGCUGCAGCUCAGCCUUGGACUCCUGUUCUUCCUCAAAUUGUUCUCGGAGGAGGUCACAGUCGUGAUGUGCUGAAUGUAAACUAUGGGCCAGGGCAUUCUUAGCCUUGAUGAAAACAACAUACACUGAGUGUACAAAACAUUUAUUUCCAUGAGACUGACCAGGUGAAUCCAGGUGAAAACUAUGAUCCUUUAUUGAUGUCACUUGUUAAAUCCACUUCAAUCAGUGUAGAGACAGGUUAAAGAAGGAUUUAAGCCUUGAGACACUUGAGACAUGGAUUGUGUAUGUGUGCCAUUCAGAGGGUGAAUGGGCAAGACAAAAUAUUUAACUGCCUUUGAACAGGGUAUGGUAGUAGGUAUCAGGCUGUCCUGAGGG
ensembl:lncRNA